CCCGGGCAUGUGCCCUGACCGGGAAUUGAACUUCGAUCUCCUGGAUCCUAGGUCGAUGCUGAACCACUGACUCUGUUGCAUGGUGUAGAAUCUCAGGUGGCCAUUAACGCUUGUUAUUUAGGUGUUUAAAUGUAGCAAAAUGUUUGCAGCAUACUAGAGAUUUUUAUAAAAUGCAAUUUAUAUACAGUAUCUCCUGUUUUUAUAACAAUAUGUUUCUCUCCCAUUUCCCCCAGGGGAGAGCGUGAACACAGUCCCCCACUAUCAGGAAUCAUGCAGUCAAGUUUCCCACAUUUGGGGAAAUUGCAGGGGUCAGCAAUCCGGACUGCAGUGGAUAAAAGCCUCUCCCUGGGAAAACCACCUUCGUGGUCAUGGUACCUCCCCCGCCAGUGUGUGUGCCCCUCUGCCCCUGGCCCGGACUCUUGUCUCCUCGGCCUCCAGGGUACCCACCGUGAAGGAACACACAGAGCGUGGGGUGAGAACGGUACCUGCCACACCUGGUCAUUGUGAAGAUGAAGUGCAUCUGAACAGGAGCCAGGAUUAAAGCACCGUCCUGCACAAGGUCUUCGGGGCUGGUGGGAGCCUACGGACGGACAGUGGAGGCGGAGGGUUAGCAAGAGGGUGUCCACGAUCCCAAGACCCAGGCGCUGCCGCCCCCAUCACGGGUACCGAGGCUCGGAAAGGAAGACCGAUGCGCCGCACCGCUGGAGAAUUCCAGAAGCCUAAAGAAGUUAGGUUGUUCCCAGUCUUUUGCUACAAAUUGCUUCAUACAGGUGUCAUCUCUCAGCAGAGCAAUGAAUCUGUAGGAUGAAUUCCUAGAAGGGGAAUUUCUGGGUCAAAGGUAUGUGUUCUUCUACUUGCUACUCUUAUGGUUAAAUUGUACCCACUUAAAGCUGCAAGAGGCUGUAUCCAUUUAAGCUGUCGGGACCUCUCUUCACACCCUUCCCCAGCAGCGUGUUUCCAAACCUGGAUCUCAGGUUGGUGGGUAAAAAAAAAAAGAUAUCUCAAGGUAGCUCUAAUUUGUAUUUGUUUUAUGAAGCUCCCUUAGGCCACUCCUCAGUCAGCCCCUUCUUCGUUUUUCUGGCAUGGGAUUGGGGUUUGCGCCUCUGCUUCCAGGAGUGUCUUUUGCUGAUGCUCCCAGACCCCUCCCUGCGCACAUCCUACUCCUUCUCUCUCUUUUUUUGGUUAAUUGUCACCUGAGGAUAUAUA